UACGUAGGGGGCUAGCGUUGUCCGGAAUCAUUGGGCGUAAAGCGCGUGUAGGCGGUCCGGUAAGUCCGCUGUGAAAGUCGAGGGCUCAACCCUCGAAUGCCGGUGGAUACUGUCGGGCUUGAGUACGGGAGAGGCGAGUGGAAUUCCUGGUGUAGCGGUGAAAUGCGCAGAUAUCGGGAGGAACACCGGUGGCGAAGGCGGUUCUCUGGGCCUUACCUGACGCUGAGGAGCGAAAGCGUGGGGAGCGAACAGG
rnacentral:rRNA from 1 species